UGUCGUCGGGACGACGACAAGGCGCGCCUUUUCGUCGGUUUCUCAACAACACGAAGAGGUAUUCACUUUCUUUCUUUCUCUCUCGUAUCUUGAUCGCCGAAACGAACACCCUUGCCGCGCGAAGGUUCACGCGUCACUGAACGUCUGAAUCUGAAUGUGCGCUGCGCCGCUGCGCGGCGAGCCAACGAACGAAUGGCGUUUGAAGCAGCGCGCAUGCGCACCGACAGACGAAUGGCGUUCGAAGCGCGCCCUGCUCACUCGUAGGGUUGUGUUCGAAAAUCCGCUCACAUGACAGAAUAGCAUCUAAUUGACCAAUUAGAACGAGAAAAGCUUUAAAUAUACACACGAUUAAGUCUUCUCUAUUGUAAUAUAUCUUAUAAUAAUAUAAAUUAUCAAUUUACCUCUCGUCUUUCUUUUGUCAGCGCAGAUGCGUGACGAUAUAAGGUCUGUUGUUUACAGAUGAACUGGCUGCAUUAGUUUAGUUUAUCUUUUUGUCUCCACAUUGAAAGGAGAAAGAUAAACUCCAAACUAGUGCAGUCAGUUCAGUUACAAAGAACAAACCUAUAGAUAACCCCCAAAAACACAUGUCUAGAGCAAACUCCAUGUACCUAAAAUCUGUUUUAAUGGAACUUAUAUACACAUCUAAUUAUAAUUUUACUAAUUUUAACCUUGUGUGUGAAGCAUAUAAAGUAUGUUAUAUACAAUAUAUAGACAUUUAGCAAAGGGUUAUAUGAAUAUUAUAAAAAAAUUCUAGUAGAUAAAUAAAAUUGAACAAUUGAAACGAGGUAUGUAACAUUCACAUAUAUAUUGUAAAUUAUACUAUGUAAAUUAGGAACGAUAAACGAAGCAAAUAAAAUAUUUUUGUCACUGUAACGAAUUCGGCUUAAUCCAAAGAAAAAAAAAAAAAAGAUUUCAUUACAUUU